GACUAUACGUUGAAAUCGCUCAACAAAAGGAGGCCUUUUAGCUAGGGAAAAGCCCAGGAGUCAGUUUAAACAAAUAGCUGGAGGAACUUACAGAUAGGGUUAAAUAUGGAUCACACAUGAUUCGAUUAAGCUGAACAUUUCUCCACCUUUUUUGUCUGCAGAUUCCAUUCCUUCGUGUUAUGUCAAUGCCACAGUAAACAACCUCAUGGCACAUCCUAACCAUCAAUGGAUGAUAUUCAGUGAGCACUCGCAGUUCUGGGGAUAGAACAAAGCAAUCCAUUUGAUGAGAGGAAGAGCUUAGAUUCUGGCUGAAGACUGACUUGAGUUUCAAACCUUAGCAAUAAUGAUAUUCACCUUACAAUAAAAGAGAAGAGACCAGAUCAAAGGAAAUAUUGUGUCCUGUUUGCAUACUCAUUGUCCCAGUGCCCUAUCAUAUGAAGUUCCCUCAGCAGAAGGGAUUGUAGUCCAGCCUCCAGAAGCAAUAUCCAAGGAGCACUGCUUGCGUGUGUUCUGAAGAUGGAAAUGAUUAUCAUAAAAGACAUGUUCCAGAAAGACAGAAGGAGCCUGGGCUGCACGUUCUGGGGCAACACAGGAACCAGGAAUCUGUCAAGGUGAGGCACUUUGAAGGUGGUGGAGGGCCCAUGAAUGCUCCCGGCACAGCCCUGCUUCCGAGACCUGGCAUGAACCGAGGGCUGGUGGAAAACAAGGUCUGCCAGGGGAGACUGGCAACUUGGCUUUUGACAGAAGGAAUGAAGUAAUGUAUUAGGUAUGAAGGCUACUCAUUUCUUCUCAGCCUGUGUCACUCUGCUGCCUUCUCUUAAGUUAUCUUCAUAUUAGCUUCAGCAAGGCUGAUCUUUGGCGGUUGAGGUUGUAGAACCACAACGUUCACACUUCAAAAAUCAUCAUAAUCUCACUGAGAUUUAAGAAACCUUACUUUGUCUCCAAAUGAGUGGAAGAGAAAGAAUAUGCAUAUGUUACAAAUGGCACAUGCCAGUAUUUUAAAGCAGGGCUAUGUUAAAAAAAAAAAAAAAAAAAAGGUUUACAGGAGCGCCUAGGUGGCUCAGUCGGUUGAGCGUCUGACUUUGGCUCAGGUCAUGAUCUGAUGGUCCAUGAGUUUGAGCCCCGUGUCGGGCUCUGUGCUGACAGCUCCGAGCCUGGAGCCUGCUUCAGAUUCUGUGUCUCCCUCUCUCUCUGACCCUCCCCCAUUCAGGCUCUGUCUCUCUCUGUCUCAAAAAUAAAUAAACAUUAAAAAAUGUUUUUUUAAAAAAG
rnacentral:lncRNA from 1 species